rnacentral:lncRNA from 1 species
GUUGAAAUAUAUGAUGCCAUGAAAGGCAGAUUCAAGCUAAGAAUUUAUAUUAGUUGGAUUGAUUACCAGAAAGAAUUUAGCAAAUAUAGCAAUACAGAUUUUUGUAGAUUUAAGAAUAUGAAAGAAUCGAGGCACUACUUGUAGAAAUCUUAGUUUUAUAUUAAUAGAUUUAGUUUUUUAUUUUUAUUUUGAGGUCAUCCCUGAGUUUGAUAACCCUUAUUUUUUCAAUGGCUUUG